AUUCAUUUCAGUGGGGGUUAUAUGCCAUUGAAAAACUGUGUAGAAAGCCAGAAAAAGGCCUGUCAGCAGAACCCAGCUUACGCAGAUGUUCAGGAUUCUCUCAAGCAAGCGGAAAAAGCGUGUGGCUCUCCAGGUGGCGGAAUCUCAGCUACCCCGGCCUUGUGGAUGGUUUUCUCAGCUGCCAUGAUGGUGUUAGCAGCCAUUUUUCCAUAAACCAACAAAUUACCUACCACUUUUUUAGUGGACAUCAGUCAUUCCAGAUGUGAAUUAUUGGACAAAACGGAAAGGAAACAAGAUCAAAAUUAUUAUCUAGAGUUAUGCGCCUUCAUUGCUAAGUGAUUUUUUUUUUCAGGGGUACUUGUGUGAUUUUAUUUUAUUUGGAAGAUUGAAGUAUGUAUAAGAAUUUGUUCAAGUUAAUUGGAUACGAUGUCUGUAAUUAAUAAAUUUCGUUUAAAAAGUUUAUAGAAAUAAAUGGAUUUACAGUUCAUUAAAAGAUUUUGGUUUGAAGCAAAAGUGAUACAUUGAUGACGAGGGUAUUUUUUUUGUAAUAUCGAUGUAAUUUUAAAUAAAAUAAAGUGAUGUAUA